rnacentral:rRNA from 1 species
UACGUAGGGGGCGAGCGUUACUCGGAUUUAUUGGGCGUAAAGCGAAUGUAGGCGGUUUCAUAAGUCAGAGGUGAAAUCCCUCAGCUCAACUGAGGAAUAGCCUUUGAUACUAUGAGACUUGAGGACAGGAGAGGAAAGUGGAAUUCCCGGUGUAGCGGUGGAAUGCGUAGAUAUCGGGAGGAACACCAGAGGCGAAGGCGGCUUUCUGGACUGAUCCUGACGCUGAGAUUCGAAAGCCAGGGGAGCAAACAGG